CCGGAGUAAUCGCCGAGUCCUGCAUGGGCAGGAGCGGGGGAACCGAGUUUUUGGGGCGUAUCGCCGAUCAUGGCGAAGGGCAAGCUCUUCGGCCCGAGCCCGUCAGCUAACCUCGCAGGCGUCGAAGGGUAGAGCC
rnacentral:sRNA from 24 species